GGGGUCGACUCCGAUGCUCUAGAUUACGCGAAGAACCCUUACCUACUCUUGACAUCCAGAGAAGCCAGCGGAGACGCAGGUGUGCCUUCGGGAGCUCUGAGACAGGUGCUGCAUGGCUGUCGUCAGCUCGUGUUGUGAAAUGUUGGGUUAAGUCCCGCAACGAGCGCAACCCUUAUCCUUGUUUGCCAGCGAGUAAUGUCGGGAACUCCAGGGAGACUGCCGGUGAUAAACCGGAGGAAGGUGGGGACGACGUCAAGUCAUCAUGGCCCUUACGAGUAGGGCUACACACGUGCUACAAUGGCGCAUACAGAGGGCAGCCAACUUGCGAAAGUGAGCGAAUCCCAAAAAGUGCGUCGUAGUCCGGAUUGGAGUCUGCAACUCGACUCCAUGAAGUCGGAAUCGCUAGUAAUCGUAGAUCAGAAUGCUACGGUGAAUACGUUCCCGGGUCUUGUA
rnacentral:rRNA from 1 species